UACGUAGGGUGCAAGCGUAAUCGGAAUUACUGGGCGUAAAGCGUGCGCAGGCGGCUUUGCAAGACAGAUGUGAAAUCCCCGGGCUUAACCCUGGGAACUGCAUUUGUGACUGCAUGGCUGGAGUGCGGCAGAGGGGGAUGGAAUUCCGCGUGUAGCAGUGAAAUGCGUAGAUAUGCGGAGGAACACCGAUGGCGAAGGCAAUCCCCCUGGGCCUGCACUGGGCGCUCAUGCACGAAAGCUGGGGAGCGAACAGGAUAGAUACC
rnacentral:rRNA from 1 species